rnacentral:lncRNA from 1 species
AAAAAAAGGCAUUAUCUACGUACAGAGUACAAUUACUUCCAUUUGUACCUUUGCUCCGUCCCCUGCCUUCUAAGGUUCUUCUUUAUGGCCAUUUCUAUCCUCAGUAAUCUGGUUCUGAACAUAAUUGGGUUUAACCAGCCACUCAGUGACGGUGAUUAAUGAUUUGGGUACUUUUUAUUGCACUCCUUGCAUCCAGGUAAUUUCUGCUCAGCAAUGUCUAGACAUAUGUGGGAAUAAAGGUGUGACUGUGUUUAGAAAUAGGACCUGCUGAGUGGGAGUCCCAUGGUAAGUUACCUCUGUACCUCCUGCAUGAAUUUUGCCUGUUUUGCCUGUCUUUUUCACUGGAAGAGGUCAAGGAGUGUCAGAGAGAUGCAGCUGUGACCAAAGGCAGAACAUUUCAUGAAGCUGGUUUGAGAUUAUACUUCAGCAGUGUUUGAGCCACAUCUGAAGUUCUCUGAAUGAGACCUAUUGACUUAGAUGAGCCCUGGAUUUAUUCCCCGGAAUCUUCAUUCUGCAAAGCAAUAGAACAUUAUAUUCCACCACGUUGUGUGUGAUGCUGAGGUUCUGUUCAAUUACGAUUUAAUUUCAUUUUGUUCUUUAAUUAGGACAGAUUGGGAUUUGUUCCCAUCUGUUCGGUGGAAAUCCCAAGUGGCUGAUUCUUAGGAAAGUAAUAUCUCAGCUCUGAUCCAUUUUUUUAUGAACUGCACAAGGUAUUUAGUGUAGUCACUUCCUCUUCAGAUGUUAAAAGGCUGAACCAAUGGAAAAUGGCUUGACUUUCUUGAGAACAAAGCAUGAAGCCCCAAGAGGAAGUAUAUCUUCUGAGGGCUUCCCAGCAUCUUGGCUAAUUUUAGACACCAUAAACUGAUCCAGCUGUCAUUGCUGUCGUAACUUCUCAGGUGAUUUAUUUCUCUUUGGAGCCAGAAGAGGGAAAGUUUACCCCAAAACUGAAAAUACUAAACCAGUGGCAAGAAUCAGUGUUUUGGAAAGGAUUCACAAAACUGUAAUGCAGAGGGAAAAGGACUGUCGUCUUAGCAGAGACGCACCGUUUCCCUCUGGAGGCUGCAGUGGAACCAUGGAAGUGCAAGUUUCAUCAGGGGAAACGAAGCCAGACAGAUGAAAGGAAGCAGCUUCUGUGAAGUGAAGAAGGUCAGUGAGUCAGGCAGGAGCACUGAUCCAUGUGGCGCAUCGUGAAGAUGCUAUAUAGCACGUUGAGGGUAUUUUGGAAAGAGAGGCUGAGCCCUGGCUGGCAAAGUUACAUUCCUAUAGCUGCAGUGCUGAAUG